UGGCUCAGUCAGUAGAGCAUGUGACUCUUGAUCUCAGGGCCGUGAGUUCCAGUCCCAC
rnacentral:tRNA from 1 species